UCGGACUCAACGCCGGAAAUCUCACCGGAUAAGACAGCUGAAUGAUAGUCGGGAUGAAGACUCUACUUGACUAGCUGAGAGGAGGUGCAUGGCCGUCGUCAGUUCGUACUGUGAAGCAUCCUGUUUAGUCAGGCAACGAGCGAGACCCACGCCAACAGUUGCCAGCUAUUCCUUUGGGAAGAUGGGGACACUGUUGGGACCGCCUCUGCUAAAGGGGAGGAAGGACUGGGCUACGGUAGGUCAGCAUGCCCCGAAUUAUCCGGGCUACACGCGGGCUACAAUGGUCAGGACAAUGGGCUCCGACACCGAGAGGUGAAGGCAAUCUCCUAACCCUGUCCGAAGUUCGGAUUGCGGGUUGCAACUCACCCGCAUGAAGCUGGAAUCUGUAGUAAUCGCGUUUCAACAUAGCGCGGUGAAUAUGUCCCUGCUCCUUGCACAC
rnacentral:rRNA from 1 species